UGGGGAAUAUUGCACAAUGGGCGCUAGCCUGAUGCAGCCAUGCCGCGUGUGUGAAGAAGGCCUUCGGGUUGUAAAGCACUUUCAGCGGGGAGGAAGGCGUUAAGGUUAAUAACCUUGGCGAUUGACGUUACCCGCAGAAGAAGCACCGGCUAACUCCGUGCCAGCAGCCGCGGUAAUACGGAGGGUGCAAGCGUUAAUCGGAAUUACUGGGCGUAAAGCGCACGCAGGCGGUCUGUCAAGUCGGAUGUGAAAUCCCCGGGCUCAACCUGGGAACUGCAUUCGAAACUGGCAGGCUAGAGUCUUGUAGAGGGGGGUAGAAUUCCAGGUGUAGCGGUGAAAUGCGUAGAGAUCUGGAGGAAUACCGGUGGCGAAGGCGGCCCCCUGGACAAAGACUGACGCUCAGGUGCGAAAGCGUGGGGAGCAAACAGG
rnacentral:rRNA from 1 species